GACGGAGGGGGCUAGCGUUGUUCGGAAUUACUGGGCGUAAAGCGUGCGUAGGCGGCCUUUCAAGUUGGGUGUGAAAGCCCGGGGCUUAACCCCGGAAAUGCGCCCAAGACUGUUUGGCUAGAGACCGGGAGAGGUGAGUGGAACUCCGAGUGUAGAGGUGAAAUUCGUAGAUAUUCGGAAGAACACCAGUGGCGAAGGCGGCUCACUGGACCGGUACUGACGCUGAGGCACGAAAGCGUGGGGAGCAAACAGG
rnacentral:rRNA from 1 species